GACGAACGCUGGCGGCGUGCCUAAUACAUGCAAGUUGAGCGAUGAAGAUUGGUGCUUGCACCAAUUUGAAGAGCAGCGAACGGGUGAGUAACGCGUGGGGAAUCUGCCUUUGAGCGGGGGACAACAUUUGGAAACGAAUGCUAAUACCGCAUAACAACUUUAAACAUAAGUUUUAAGUUUGAAAGAUGCAAUUGCAUCACUCAAAGAUGAUCCCGCGUUGUAUUAGCUAGUUGGUGAGGUAAAGGCUCACCAAGGCGAUGAUACAUAGCCGACCUGAGAGGGUGAUCGGCCACAUUGGGACUGAGACACGGCCCAAACUCCUACGGGAGGCAGCAGUAGGGAAUCUUCGGCAAUGGACGAAAGUCUGACCGAGCAACGCCGCGUGAGUGAAGAAGGUUUUCGGAUCGUAAAACUCUGUUGGUAGAGAAGAACAUUGGUGAGAGUGGAAAGCUCAUCAAGUGACGGUAACUACCCAGAAAGGGACGGCUAACUACGUG
rnacentral:rRNA from 1 species